UACGUAGGGUGCAAGCGUUGUCCGGAAUUAUUGGGCGUAAAGAGCUUGUAGGCGGUUUGUCGCGUCUGCUGUGAAAUUUCGGGGCUCAACCCCGAACUUGCAGUGGGUACGGGCAGACUAGAGUGUGGUAGGGGAGACUGGAAUUCCUGGUGUAGCGGUGAAAUGCGCAGAUAUCAGGAGGAACACCGAUGGCGAAGGCAGGUCUCUGGACAGUUCCUGACACUGAGGCACGAAGGCCAGGGGAGCAAACGGG
rnacentral:rRNA from 1 species